GACGAACGCUGGCGGCGUGCCUAAUACAUGCAAGUAGAACGCAGUUGCGAACGGGUGAGUAACGCGUAGGUAACUGCCUCAUAGCGGGGGGUAAAUAUUGGAAACGAUAGCUAAUACCGCAUACUGUGAGAUAGACCUGGGUUGUAUUAGCGAGGUGGUGGGGUAAAGGCUCACCAAGGCGACGAUACAUAGCCGACCUGAGAGGUUGAUCAGCCACACUGGGACUGAGACACGGCCCAGACUCCUACGGGAGGCAGCAGUGGGGAAUUUUGGACAAUGGGGGCAACCCUGAUCCAGCCAUGCCGCGUGUAUGAAGAAGGCCUUCGGGUUGUAAAGUACUUUUGUUAGGGAAGCGGUACCUAAAGAAUAAGCACCGGCUAACUACGUGCCAGCAGCCGCGGUAAUUC
rnacentral:rRNA from 1 species